rnacentral:rRNA from 1 species
AGCGAACGUUAGCGGCGGGCCUAACACAUGCAAGUCGAACGCGAAAGGUCUUCGGACUGAGUAGAGUGGCGCACGGGUGAGUAACACGUAGGUAAUCUACCCUUUGGCGGGGGAUAACGUUCCGAAAGGAGCGCUAAUACCGCAUAAGACCACGGAGUCUCCGGACGCUGUGGGAAAAGGUGGCCUCUUCUUGAAAGCUACCACCGAAGGAUGAGCCUGCGUCCCAUCAGCUAGUUGGUAAGGUAAUGGCUUACCAAGGCGAAGACGGGUAGCUGGUUUGAGAGAAUGAUCAGCCACACUGGCACUGGAACACGGGCCAGACUCCUACGGGAGGCAGCAGUGAGGAAUAUUGGGCAAUGGGCGAAAGCCUGACCCAGCCACGCCGCGUGAGUGAUGAAGGCCCUCGGGUCGUAAAGCUCUGUGGAGAGGGACGAAAACCCUGGUUUCAAAUAGGCUCCAGGCUUGACGGUACCUCUUUAGCAAGCACCGGCUAACUCUGUGCCAGCAG